AGAUUGAACGCUGGCGGCAUGCCUAACACAUGCAAGUCGAACGGGAGUAGCAAUACUCUAGUGGCGGACGGGUGAGGAAUACGUAGGAAUUUGCCCUUAAGUGGGGGAUAACCCGGGGAAACCCGGAUUAAUACCGCAUGACCUCGAAAGAGCAAAGUGGGGAUCGCAAGACCUCACGCUUUGGAGAAGCCUACGUCGGAUUAGCUAGUUGGUGAGGUAAUGGCUCACCAAGGCGACGAUCCGUAACUGGUCUGAGAGGAUGAUCAGUCACACCGGAACUGAGACACGGUCCGGACUCCGUACGGGAGCAGCAGGUGGGAAUAGUUAGGACAAGUCGGGCGACGAAGCCUAGAUCCAGGACUAAGUCGGACCGUACGGUGGUAGGUA
rnacentral:rRNA from 1 species